CAGCCGCUGAUUGACUGAUCACUGCACUUCAGUGUCUAUGUGUGGGCUAAACCAGUGGGAAAUCCGAUAUCUUCAGCAUUCUACAGUAAUGGGUUUCUGAUCCCUGAAAUUGCAAGAGGAAAGUUGUAUUUGAGAAUGAAAGUUCAUCUGACCUUGACCUUGGUGGUCUACCUCACGGGCAUCAGUGGCCUUGACUUUGGGUACCAUGAUCAGGCUGCAGUAGAAACAUUCCUGACAAACAUAUCCACAACCUACCCUGAUAUAACCCGUGUGUACAGUGUCGGGAAGAGUACAGGAGGUGCAGAGAUGUGGGUUAUUGCCAUCGGUGAGAAUCCCAACAAGGUCCAUACCCUGCUGCGCCCCAAUGUGAAAUACGUCGCCAACAUGCAUGGAAAUGAGGUUCCUGGCCGAGAGAUGGUGCUGCAUCUGGCAGAGUACUUUGUCACCAACUACAACCACAAUGACACCAUCACCAACUUCCUCAGCACCACCACCGUCCACCUCAUGCCCAUGAUGAACCCAGACGGCUUUGCCCAGUCCUUUGAAGGCAACUGUACAGAUGUGAUUGGCAGGUAUAACAAGAAUGGAUACGAUUUGAAUCGGAACUUCCCUGACCACUUUGCAACAAACCCGGCUCCCAUUCAAAAUGAGACGAUGAACGUAAUGAAAUGGAUCGAAGAUAUACCGUUUGUUCUGUCUUCAAACUUCCAUGGUGGUGUUGAGGUGGUGAACUAUCCCUGGGACAGUUACCCUGGUGCUAGUAAUAUUGCUAAGUAUUCGAAGAGUCCAGACGAUGACGUCUUUGUCCACAUCUCCAAGGUCUACUCCUACUCCCACGCCACCAUGUACAAUGGUCUUCCAUGUUCCAACAGCAGUGGUGAUGGGGGAUUCGAAGACGGCAUCACUAAUGGGGCGGCUUGGUACCCCGUGACAGGAGGGAUGCAGGACUACAACUACGUCCGUGCCAGCUGCAUGGAGGUCCUGGUGGAGAUGACAUGCUGCAAGUAUCCAAUGGCCAGUGAGCUGCCCAGCAUCUGGAGUGCCAACAAGGACGCCCUCAUCAACUUCCUCAUGUUGGUCCACAUGGGCGUGAAAGGGCUGGUGACCGACAUCAACAAUAAUGCUAUCAGUGGUGUGAUGGUCACAGUCAAGCACAGGGAGGAGAUCGUGUUUAAGACGACCAAUCGUGGAGAAUACUGGAGAAUGUUGAUGCCGGGGACAUACACCGUAGAGUUCAAAGCCAAUGGUUUCGACACUGUGAGCAAACCUGUGACUGUUCAACAAGGGGAGGUAGCUCGUGUGGAUGUUGAGCUAAAGGAGGCAGCCAUAGGGUGCGCUGGUUGUCCUGAAUACCUGUCUGUCUUGAUGUCUGUCUGUUGUCUGUAUUCCUACUUCAUGUCCUCGUCUCCAUGGGUUACUAGCACACUUGGUUGAUCAGUACCUUUCUGAAAAACCUUUGAGGCCAUAAUUACAACAUCUCUCACUUAUGAUUGUUAUACGAACUGUGAUGCAAAGAUUUAUGGUGAUUGACGGCAUUUUUGAUUUUUGGAUGUGAUUUAUAUUUUCAGGCAUAAUAUACAAUAAACUGAAGCUGUAAUUAUUUUAAGACCGAGUUAUUUAAUCAGAUUUGCUCAGUAUUCUAUUUUUAGAAAUAUUUUCCUUUUUGUAGAAUUGUCUUAUGUGCUUACGAUGGAAGUCAUGUAUAUAUGAUACAAGUAUUUAUAUGUGCGUCUCCAUCAAUCUUUUCUGUGGAUCAUUGUUUUCCAAGUUUUGGAAGAGAACAAUUCAUGUUUGGAAACAAAAGCAUCAAACAGGAGUAGUAACGCUGUAUAAUCUCGCAGUAGAAAAUAUUUGUGAAAUUAUGACAGAAACAAUGAAUAUACGAAAAUCAGGGGAUAGAAAUUAUGAGAGCUUCAACCUGCUGUCAGGAGAAUGGACUUUAGCUUGCUAAGUGCAAACAAGUGUGGCAUAGUAAGAAAAUCAAACAUAAUGAACAGUUGUAAAUUCAAUAGAUUCCUAAUUCUCUCUGUAAAUCCCUAUACAUCUCUUCCUCUCUAUUUGUGUCUCUUACUUACCAAUGAAUUCCUUCCUGUAUCUGUUUUCCUUUCACUAUUGCUCUCUCUCUCUCUCUCUCUCUCUCUCUCUCUCUCUCUCUCUCUCUCUCUCUCUCUAAUCCAAUAAUUCUUCAUGAUUCAAGGACAUAUGCAUAAUUUACAUCUUCAUUAUUCGUGAUCAUCUUGACGUUUUCAUGGUGAUACCUUGCUUGAUAUUUCCAUGAUCCAUGAUAUCUAUUUACUUGAUAUUUUCAUGACUAGUGGUGGUACUAUAUUGGAUAUUUCCAUGAUUCAUGCAAAUGCUAUUCAUGUUUCCAGGAUUUGUGAUAAUACUGUACUUCAUAUGUUCAAGAUUCACAAUAAUGUUUGUUAAUUUAUUCAAUCAUUUGCAUAAAAGCAGCUGUCCCUCAGUCCUGUAUUUACGUGUUUAUGCAAAUUUGAAGAUGUUAUCUUUUACACGACUCUGAUAAGUUCUUCAUUAUGUAUAUACAUGGGAGGCUGAACAGGUUUCAUGCAUUUGUUGAUCAUCUCCUGUCGUUCUUUAUCUCCCAUUGUUCUUUAUCUCCCAUUGUUCUUCAUCACCCCAUCACCAAUUGUCCCGUCUCCCAUUGUUGUUAGCCAGGACAUAAUGAUAUAUCUUUCAUAAUAUAAACAUCCCACAAUUCUCCACAAAAUAUUUUUGUAUCAUCUUUUAUUUGUCUUGUUUUUGCUGUCUUAGAUCAGUCAGUACAGUGGAAGCCCUCUAAACUGGCAUUCGUUGGGACCGGCAAAAUAUGACGGUAUAGAGGGCAUGCCAGAUAAAAUAACUUUUCCUUUUUCAACCUGAAAAUGAUCUCCGUGUGCCGUAAAAUACGACUGAACAAAGUGUUGAUAGUCAUCAUAUUCUUUAUUCAUCAAUAAAGAUAACAUCUGGUAAAGUACGGAAAAACAAACCAGUCUCAUCGCAGUUAAAGACAUCUUCACUAGGCAUAUCCAUCAAUCAAAGUCGGGAGGCGGGAGCUUAAUGCUGAUGGUAAUCCACUGUGUUGUCAAUACACGUUCAGCCAAUCAGCCAAUCAACAGGAGAGCUGAAAUACCAGAUGGCGGUUUAGAGAGCAUUAAUUAUUGUACAAACAGUCAAUUGGGCUGCCUUUGUUGUGCCGAAAUACAGAAUAGACUGACGCCGGAUUAGACUGCGUGUAAAUGAUCAUAAAUUAACUAGCUUCUGCCGGGACCAAAUUCUCGUACCGAUAUUGAGAGCAUGCCGGAUUGGAGGGUUGCCGGUUUAGAGGGCUUCCACUGUAUUCUAAAUACACUGAAGUGAAGUCAAGUCAAAAUUAAUCUUUAUUUCAGACUUGAUCUGCUAUUUUUGUUGUUGAAAGAAUGCUACUUUUAGAUAAAAAAACAACAUUGUUAGAUUUAUUUCUUUAAUGUUUUUCUCUACUGUGUGUAAUUACUAAAGUAUGUGACAUUUUUCAUGUACUUGACUAGUUUGAGAACUUGUUUAAAUUUAUUAAGUACUUAACAGACUUUGCUUGACGAAGGGAAAUGUUUUUGCAAUUAUUGUCACCAAAUCCUUAAACCAAGAAACCUGCCAUAAUGUAUAUAUUUGUUGAGAUGUUCUUGUUGGGAAUGAUAGAUAUUUUAUGGAUGUUUCAUUAUAAUCUUCCAUUUUCUUCACCUGUUUGUAUUAAGCAGUUUUCACUGUUUAUUAACACAUUGUCAGGACAGUAGGACAUUUGUUGAAUAUUGAUACAUAUUGUGUUAUCCUCGUGAAUUAAUGAUACAGACUUGGAUGGAACUCAACUCAAAGUAAUGGAAGGACCACAAAUUUUCAAAUUAGAAAAUUAUCUGCAAUAGGUCAAAGAUGUUAGUGGGUCAUUAAAUUACAUUUUUUCAAAUGUAGGUGAUCAUACUUUUUCCUGUAUUUUUUAUUUGAAUCAUCCCAAACUCACUUGAUCUUUGUUGUAAUAGUAACAUUUAACAGUUUUGUAACAGAUUUCUUUUGAUCUACACUGAAUAUAAAGAAUGUUUAAUUUAACAUUGUUAAAUGUCAGAAUUUAUAGUCAGGAUUAAUAAAUCAGAGUUAUUUGUAUUGUGAUGAGUUGUCGAGAACAUAGUGUCAAAACAACUCCUGAUUACAGGGUUGCACAGGAAAGAUACCAAUUGUUGAUGUGACAUUGUUUAUCUUCCCUCUUCAGCAUCCUGGCAAGCCGUUUCUAUCGAGGGAUUUUCUCCAGGAUAUGAUUCCAAGACCGACUGUUUAUUUGGCUUAUGUUCCGCCAGUCAGAUCUGACUGAUGUCCCAUCAGCCAACCACAUCUCUGCUACCAAGUCUCUAUACAUCAGUUAUAUGUUAACUUACUCUUCUGACUGUCAUUGUACAUGGAGAAUAAUCAAAUAUUUGCAUCACCGGUUGAAAAAUACAUGUCUAUAUGAAAUACAUAUGCAAUUGCUGCCCAGAUCAAAAUGAUGUUUAACAGAUUAAUUUAAAUGAUAUUAAAGCUCAAAUGUAAGAAUCUUAUGAAUAAAUUUGGAUUUUGUA